UACAGAGGUCCCAAGCGUUGUUCGGAUUCACUGGGCGUAAAGGGUGCGUAGGCGGUCGGGUAAGUCUGAUGUGAAAUCUCACAGCUUAACUGUGAAACUGCAUUGGAUACUAUCCGGCUCGAGGAAUGGAGGGGAGACUGGAAUACUUGGUGUAGCAGUGAAAUGCGUAGAUAUUAAGUGGAACACCGGUGGCGAAGGCGGUUCUCUGGGCAUUACCUGACGCUGAGGAGCGAAAGCAUGGGGAGCGAACAGG
rnacentral:rRNA from 1 species